CUGCUCUGGCAGCAUACAAGAAAAGAGAGACAGUGAUAUAAUGCACCAAAAGGAUUUUCCUGUCUAUCAGGCAAGAGAGUUGAUUCCUCGCUAGGUGCUUUAUUUCAGAUGUUUCCAACAACACCUCUAGCAUACUGAAAUCAAAGAUCAACUCAGACUUCAUCAAGGAACAACUAUAUCUCCAGCCAUUUUCUCCAGAACUGACACACCUUAGGAGCUGACAUUUACUUAGGAUACCUUUUGUCAGAAAUGCUUUUGGAGUGCAUUUGCAACUAUUUACAAUGUUGAAGUCUUUUAAGAUUGAAGAGAACGGUAACAAACUCCGGUAACAAAUCAAAGCUUUUCAGUGUAAUUUACUUGGUCCUUGAAACCUCUUGAGUCUCACCUCAUUUCCCUGGUGUAACAGUCACAGAGAGCCUUCAGUCCUGCUCUACAACCCUGCUGAGAUACAACCUGGUUGUUCCUGCUACUCCCUUCUGAGCCAGUCCCAGAGGAUCUUCAGGCCUGCUAGCUGGAGAAAACCCAGAUACCAAGAGACUUGUGGGACACAUGGUUUUGGAAAAGAUGGCAUUGCUGCCCAGCUGGCCUAAAGAGUCUCGGGGAACACUGCAAGCCCACCAGGAGUGGCUAGAUAAACAGGUAUGACCUGGGGGACAAGGUCCUGUAGAACAUAGGUGGUUUGGAAAACCAUGCCUUUAAGGCUCAAGUUUCUUGUAUUUUCACACAAUGUGCUAGAAGGGCAUGGGAAGCAAACAGGGUUGAUAAAUAGAAAAAAAUGGGGGCAGGGGAGGGUUGGCCAAUUUUGCAGAAAUAUUUGAGUUUUGCAAAGUGGAACUGAAUAGCUUGGACUGCCUUUUCACGUGUAGUUUGAAAACAUUAUGCUAAUGGGUAGAGCUGCUCAAGUUCUGCACCACAAAUAAAUUCUCCAGCACAUUUUUUGCUUGUGAAUGAUUCGCGAACUAAGGCAGAGAGCUGCAAAUGUGUUCACCAUUCACAAGCAGUCACAGAAUCAUUUGCAUGAACAAUUUCCGGCCUGAGGAUUGAUCAUGCACCUUUUGUUUUGACUGUUCACUACACAAC